UACGUAGGGACCGAGCGUUGUCCGGAAUCAUUGGGCGUAAAGAGCUCGUAGGCGGUUUGUCGCGUCUGCCGUGAAAGUCCGGGGCUCAACUCCGGAUCUGCGGUGGGUACGGGCAGACUAGAGUGAUGUAGGGGAGACUGGAAUUCCUGGUGUAGCGGUGAAAUGCGCAGAUAUCAGGAGGAACACCGAUGGCGAAGGCAGGUCUCUGGGCAUUAACUGACGCUGAGGAGCGAAAGCAUGGGGAGCGAACAGG
rnacentral:rRNA from 1 species